AUUGAACGCUGGCGGCAGGCCUAACACAUGCAAGUCGAAUGGUAACAGGAAACAGCUUGCUGUUUCGCUGACGAGUGGCGGACGGGUGAGUAAUGUCUGGGAAACUGCCUGAUGGAGGGGGAUAACUACUGGAAACGGUAGCUAAUACCGCAUAACGUCGCAAGACCAAAGAGGGGGGACCUUCGGGCCUCUUGCCAUCAGAUGUGCCAGAUGGGAUUAGCUAGUAGGUGGGUAACGGCUCACCUAGGCGACGAUCCCUAGCUGGUCUGAGAGGAUGACCAGCCACACUGGAACUGAGACACGGUCCAGACUCCUAGGGAGCAGCAGUGGGGAAUAUUGCACAAUGGGCGCAAGCCUGAUGCAGCCAUGCCGCGUGUAUGAAGAAGGCC
rnacentral:rRNA from 1 species